UGUCACUACCAUUUCGAUUCCUCUUAACCAUAUUCAUCCCCUCCCUUUUCAUCGUUUCCGUCUCCGCCACACUUCUUGGUCGCGAUGCAUUCAAGAACUUGGUAACCGCUGAAAUACAUCCAGUGGCUCAAGUAUUUGCGAGAGCAAUGCUGGUUAAGGAAUACACCAUUGCCCACAACAAAGUCAGGUUAAUCUUGGGCAUGAAACCCCUAACAUGGAACAAAACCUUGGAAGAUUAAGCUCGUCGCUGGGCCGAACAG
rnacentral:misc_RNA from 1 species